ensembl:ncRNA B0454.21 ncRNA
UGCGUUUGACGCUUUCAUAGUGCCUUGACGCAUUUGUAGUGUCCAGGCGCACUUCUAGUGUCUUGGCGCAUUUCUAGUGACUGAAGGCAUUUUCAGCGUCCUGGCGC